AGAGUUUGAUCCUGGCUCAGAUUGAACGCUGGCGGCAUGCUUUACACAUGCAAGUCGAACGGCAGCGGGGGCUUCGGCCUGCCGGCGAGUGGCGAACGGGUGAGUAAUGCAUCGGAACGUGCCCAAGUCGUGGGGGAUAACGUAUCGAAAGGUACGCUAAUACCGCAUACGUCCUGAGGGAGAAAGCGGGGGAUUCUUCGGAACCUCGCGCGAUUGGAGCGGCCGAUGUCGGAUUAGCUAGUAGGUGAGGUAAAGGCUCACCUAGGCGACGAUCCGUAGCGGGUCUGAGAGGAUGAUCCGCCACACUGGGACUGAGACACGGCCCAGACUCCUACGGGAGGCAGCAGUGGGGAAUUUUGGACAAUGGGCGCAAGCCUGAUCCAGCCAUGCCGCGUGAGUGAAGAAGGCCUUCGGGUUGUAAAGCUCUUUCGGCCGGGAAGAAAUCGUGUUCUCUAACAUAGGACAUGGAUGACGGUACCGGACUAAGAAGCACCGGCUAACUACGUGCCAGCAGCCGCGGUAAUA
rnacentral:rRNA from 1 species